rnacentral:lncRNA from 1 species
AAUGGCCGGAGGCACAUACACUUGCCAGUAGUAAAACUCCACCUUGUGAUUCACUGAUUUCUCCAGCAGCCAUGCUUCCUGCAGCACUGAGGCUUGGUCAUAUCACAGUGCUCAGAGGGGAGGUUCAGCCAUUUCUGCCUUGUGCCACUGGACAGAUGAUUCCUGCAUUUGGUGACUGACUU